UACGUAGGGCGCAAGCGUUUAUCCGGAAUUAUUGGGCGUAAAGAGCUCGUAGGCGGUUUGUCGCGUCUGCCGUGAAAGUCCGGGGCUCAACUCCGGAUCUGCGGUGGGUACGGGCAGACUAGAGUGAUGUAGGGGGAGACUGGAAUUCCUGGUGUAGCGGUGAAAUGCGCAGAUAUCAGGAGGAACACCGGUGUGCAAGGCGGGUCUCUGGGCCAUUAACUGACGCUGAGGAGC
rnacentral:rRNA from 1 species